rnacentral:rRNA from 1 species
AACGAACGCUGGCGGCAUGCCUAACACAUGCAAGUCGAACGAAGCCUUCGGGCUUAGUGGCGCACGGGUGCGUAACGCGUGGGAAUCUGCCCUUGGGUUCGGAAUAACAGUUAGAAAUGACUGCUAAUACCGAAUGAUGUCUUCGGACCAAAGAUUUAUCGCCCAAGGAUGAGCCCCGCGUCGGAUUAGCUAGUUGGUGAGGUAAAGGCUCACCAAGGCGACGAUCCGUAGCUGGUCUGAGAGGAUGAUCAGCCACACUGGGACUGAGACAUGGCCCAGACUCCCUACGGGAGGCAGCAGUGGGAAUAUUGGACAAUGGGCGAAGCCUGAUCCAGCAAUGCCGCGUGAGUGACGAAGCCUUAGGGUUGUAAAGCUACUUUUAGGUGGGGGAAGAGUAAUGACGGUACCACAGAAGAAGCCCCGGCUAACCUCCGUG